rnacentral:rRNA from 1 species
GACAGAGGGUGCAAACGUUGUUCGGAAUUACUGGGCGUAAAGCGCUUGUAGGCGGCUUGUUAAGUUCCGUGUGAAAUCCCCAGGCUUAACCUGGGAAGUGCGCGGAAAACUGGCGAGCUUGAGUGCCGGAGAGGGUCGCGGAAUUCCCGGUGUAGAGGUGAAAUUCGUAGAUAUCGGGAGGAACACCAGUGGCGAAGGCGGCGACCUGGACGGACACUGACGCUGAGACGCGAAAGCGUGGGGAGCAAACAGG